rnacentral:rRNA from 1 species
AUUGAACGCUGGCGGCAGGCCUAACACAUGCAAGUCGAGCGGAGCGGCGGACGGGUGAGUAAUGCCUAGGAAUCUGCCUGGUAGUGGGGGAUAACGUCCGGAAACGGGCGCUAAUACCGCAUACUAUCAGAUGAGCCUAGGUCGGAUUAGCUAGUUGGUGGGUUAAAGGCCUACCAAGGCGACGAUCCGUAACUGGGCUGAGAGGAUGAUCAGUCACACUGGAACGGAGACACGGUCCAGACUCCUACGGGAGGGAGCAGUGGGGAAUAUUGGACAAUGUGCGAAAGCCUGAUCGAGCCAUGCCGCGUGGGUGAAGAAGGUCUUCGUAUUGUAAAGCUCUUUAAGUUGGAAGGAGUUACCGUCAGAAUAAGCACCGGCUAACUUCGUGCCAGCCGCCGCGGUAAUUC